UACAGAGGGUGCAAGCGUUAUUCGGAAUUAUUGGGCAUAAAGCGCAUGUAGGUGGUUUAGUAAGUCUGAUGUGAAAUCCCCGGACUCAAUUCGGGAAGUGCAUUGGAUACUGCUAGGCUAGAGUAUGGGAGAGGUGAGCGGAAUUCCAGGUGUAGAGGUGAAAUUCGUAGAUAUCUGGAGGAACAACAGUGGCGAAGGCGGCUCACUGGACCAUUACUGACACUGAGAUGCGAAAGCGUGGGGAGCAAACAGG
rnacentral:misc_RNA from 1 species